UACAGAGGUCUCAAGCGUUGUUCGGAUUCAUUGGGCGUAAAGGGUGCGUAGGUGGCGCCGUAAGUCAGGUGUGAAAUCCCGGGGCUUAACCCCGGGUCUGCAUUCGAUACGGGCUGACUAGAGUUCGGCAGGGGAGACUGGAAUUCCUGGUGUAGCGGUGAAAUGCGCAGAUAUCAGGAGGAACACCGGUGGCGAAGGCGGGUCUCUGGGCCGAUACUGACGCUGAGGAGCGAAAGCGUGGGGAGCGAACAGG
rnacentral:rRNA from 1 species